rnacentral:rRNA from 1 species
UACGAAGGGGGCUAGCGUUGUUCGGAAUUACUGGGCGUAAAGCGCACGUAGGCGGAUAUUUAAGUCAGGGGUGAAAUCCCGGGGCUCAACCCCGGAACUGCCUUUGAUACUGGGUAUCUAGAGUCCAGAAGAGGUGAGUGGAAUUCCGAGUGUAGAGGUGAAAUUCGUAGAUAUUCGGAGGAACACCAGUGGCGAAGGCGGCUCACUGGUCCGGUACUGACGCUGAGGUGCGAAAGCGUGGGGAGCAAACAGG